CACCGCGGUUAUACGAGGGGCCCAAAUUGAUACUCCAACGGCGUAAAGUGUGAUUAGAGAAAAUCGUACAUUAAAGCCAAAUAUUCCUUAUGCUGUCAUACGCUAAUUGGAUCCAAGAAGCCCAACUACGAAAGUGGCUUUAUACUACUUGAACUCACGACAGCCAGAACA
rnacentral:rRNA from 1 species